AAAUGUCUUGUGAGGGCAUGAAAAGGGUAAGGAAAUUCUCAUACAUGAACCAGUGCUUACAUUGAUGGCACCAGAGCCAGUUGUAUUCUCCCUAAGGUAAACGGGGUUAUUCCUCAGCUUCUUCCAGAUGACUGGAUGUGGAAAUAGAACAAAAGGGGCAAGAUGCCUGAAGAAGAGUCCUGACCCAUAUUGUAAGUGGAGGGGCCCCAGAUAACUCUGUAAGCUCAGUAUUCCCUAAAAAGAUGUGAACAAUGGUACAAUAAAAUGUCACAUGCCUA